CCCACUUCACAAAGCUACAGUUGUUUUGGCGCUUAGUGUGUCUCUAAAAGGCUCUGUUAGUGAAUAAUGGUAACAACAUUGUGUAUCUCCCAAGAAACAUUUAAACAGACCAAGCAUUGCAUUUCCGACACCCCAAGCCAUACACACAGCGCUCCUCAAUGAUCACUGCCACAUCACAGGGUAACCUGCUAAACAGAGGUUUGAUAAAUUUAGGCAAAAAUCUAUGUUAGAAUAAAACUCCAAUUCAAUAUUCUGUAAGUGAAAUAUUUUAGAUUUGUCAAAU